rnacentral:rRNA from 1 species
UAAUACGUAGGGGGCGAGCGUUGUCCGGAUUUAUUGGGCGUAAAGAGCUCGUAGGCGGUUCGAUAAGCCGGAUGUGAAAUCUCCACGCUCAACGUGGAGGGUGCAUUCGGUACUGUCGUGACUAGAGUCAGGUAGAGGAGUGUGGAAUUCCUGGUGUAGCGGUGAAAUGCGCAGAGAUCAGGAGGAACACCCGUAGCGAAGGCGGCACUCUGGGCCUUGACUGACGCUGAGGAGCGAAAGCGUGGGUAGCGAACAGGAUUAGAUACCCUGGUAGUCCACGCCGUAAACGUUGGGCACUAGGUGUGGGACUCUAUCGACGGGUUCCGUGCCGUAGCUAACGCAUUAAGUGCCCCGCCUGGGGAGUACGGCCGCAAGGCUA